rnacentral:rRNA from 1 species
AUACGUAGGGUGCGAGCGUUAAUCGGAAUUACUGGGCGUAAAGCGUGCGCAGGCGGUUUUGUAAGUCAGAUGUGAAAUCCCCGGGCUUAACCUGGGAACUGCGUUUGAAACUGCAAGGCUAGAGUGUGGCAGAGGGGGGUGGAAUUCCGCGUGUAGCAGUGAAAUGCGUAGAUAUGUGGAGGAACACCGAUGGCGAAGGCAGCCCCCUGGGUCAACACUGACGCUCAGGCACGAAAGCAUGGGGAGCAAACAGGAUUAGAUACCCCAGUAGUCC